UUGAGAAAUGUCAACAACUCUAAUUCUGUUUUUAGGUUGUUGUGUCUAUAGCAUGUGUGUGAUUAAGGUUUUCGGAAAACUACUAUGAUCGGAAAAAUGGAACGACUAGAACUGAUAUUGAAGCGUUCCAGAAAUUCCGGAGGGCUAUCCUCGAGGUUCCAAGGGAGAGUGCUCGUAGAAAAAUUAGGAAAUGUAUUGGAGACACUCUCAACCUCGCAGAGCUCGGCAUACCAAACAUCAGAUGCAUGGAACACUCCUAUCCGAUUUCCUAGCAUAUCUUCGAGAUCGUAACAUGCUGAUCCUAUUUUUCCGACCACUUUUGCUAGAGAGAAGGGGUCUGUUAGCUUUGCUGAGAAAUUCUUCUCACCUGCUUCCCUUAGGUGUUUAUAUUCUGACCCUGAACUGAUAUAAUUGUGCCCAUAAUUGAUGAAGUAUGGCGUGAACGAAGUGGAUUCGUGCUCGGCAGUUCUUAUAGUCAUCGCGACCUUCUGAAUUUCUCGAUCCUAAUCUCUGUGGUCCCCCUUUACAUAGGUUCGAAUUGCAGCACCAAUCACCCGAUUUACCCUUUCUGUUGGGUUAUUCGCUGGGUGAUAGUUUGCGUUUCGCCAAUGUGUUACGUGAUAACGCUUAAGAAAUUUGUCGAAUUCUUUCGACUUGAACUGUACCCCGUUGUCAGAAAUAAGUAUUUCUGGCACCCCAAUAGCAGAAAUACCAUAUUUUCUAGGAAAGCCACUAAGGCUGGAGUUUUUACUUCUCUGAGUGGCUGGAUGACCACGAAUUUAGAAAAUAGGUCCGUUACUACCAACAAGACUGAAUUGCCAUUUCGCGAUCUGGGGAAUGGACCGACAAAGUCAACUGAUAUAGUCUGCCAUGGGAGUGAAGCUAAUUUUUGCUUCCCCAUUGGAGGGACACGGCUCGUAUUCGGGUAUUUAGUCCGUUUACAUACUUCGCACCCUUGACAGUAUUUUCUAACGUCAUCGUCCAUUGCAGGCCAAUAGUAUUUCUCUUGCAUCUUCUUGAGCGUUUUGUAUCGGCCAAAGUGGGUGGCAUCAUCGAUACCUAGAUAUUUUAAAUUUACUGAAUUUAGCCUGAUCCUUCAUUAUAUUUUCUUUCAGUUUCGACAUCUUGGAUUUCAACGGUGUCAACUGCUCGCGACAACGCAUCCGCUGUAAUAUUUAAUGAUCCCUUUGUGUACUGCAAGUUAAAACUAUAUUGCUGUAACUUUAAAGCCCACCUGAUUAGUUUUGCGGAUCCCUUCUCCGCGCUUAUUUUCCGAAGCCAAAUCAAGCUUUGGGCAUCUGUUACCACAGUAAAAUUUCACCCUUCAACGUAAUGCCGAAAUUUCUCAAUUGCCAAGAUAACUCCUAGGCAUUCUUUUUCUGUAGGUGCGUAUUUCUUUUGGGUUGCAGAUAGCUUUUUCGAAAAGAAUUCUAUCGGCCUUCUUACGUUGUCUUGAACCUGUACUAAAACUGCACCCACUGCUACGUCCGAGGCAUCUGACUCAAUAAUAAAUGGUAGAUUAAUGUCAGGGUUUGCUAAUACAUUCGGCGAAGUCAAAACAGACUUAAUUCUAAGGAACGAAUCCUCUGCUUUCGUCCAGUAUAUCGGAACCUUUCCUUCUUUAGAAGGUCGGUAACAGGCGCAGUCAAGUCACUAUAGUGCCCAAUAAAUUGUUUAUAGAAACUGACCCUCCCUAUAAAACGCCUAACGUCCUUCUGGCUCUUUGGGAGAGGAUAGUCGAGGAUUGGCCGAAUCUUCGAGCUAUCGAUUGCUAAACCAUGUUCUGACAAUGUAUAUCCCAAAUAGCUUAUCAUUUUCUGACAAAAUUUCGACUUUUCCAGACUUAUUGAUAAGUUUGCAUUCUUUAGGCGCUCUGCGAAAAUGUUCUGCGAGUGUAUUUGACGUUAUGAUUAUAUCGUCAAGGUAUACAUGCACAUAUGGCUCAAGAUCAAAUCCUAAGACUUUAUUCAUCAACUUUGUUUGUGUAGUUGGUGCGCUCUUUAAGCCAAUUGGCAUCACCUUGAAGCAACAGAGUUGUUUACCUGCCCGGAAAGAUGUAAAAUCUCUACUGGACUCGUCGAGUAGGAUUUGCCCUAGGGGCAGAUCACUCUAGAAAUGUAUAACAAAUUUGCAUCAAAUUAGGAAAAAUGCAUUUAAUUUCCAUUGGGAGCACGUCGUUUGGCAUAAGUUCGUUUGGCAUAAGUUCAUUUGGCAUAAGUUCAUUUGGCAUAAUGUUCAUUUGGCAUAACAGCAGGUGACACAUACGUUCGUUUGGCAUAAUGUUCAUUUGGCAUAAUGGUCAUUUGGCAUAAUGGUCAUUUGGCAUAAUGGUCGUUUGGCAUAAUGGUCAUUUGGCAUAAUGGUCGUUUGGCAUAAUUUAAAAAAUACGUUGAAUUUUCUGUUACUAGUCGUUGACGACUAAUGUGGCUACGCUCCGUCGGACUUGAACUAGUUGAUAGCCCCUAUGUUUGAGUAAUCCGGGCAAACGAGUGGAUCACAGGUUUGCUCGCGAGGGGCCGCCGACGCACCAUCGGAACCCGGCGGAUCCCGCUUCGGAUCCUUGGUCUCAGUUAUGCGACAAUGCCAAGGGUUAAUUGGUAUAUAGGUUCAAAAAAAUGCUCAUAUUUGAAAGAAGAAUCAACCCUUAUGUUUAAGUAAUCCGGGCAAACGAGUUAAUCAACACUUUGCUAGCGAACUUAUUAAACAUGCAGAUUAAAAGAGCUACUCAUUUUUGAAAGAAGGAGUCAACUCCUAAUUUUGGGUGAAACGGGCAAACGAGUAUAUUUACUUGUUUACCCGUACAGUUUACUUGCGAGGGCCAUUUGGUAUGCAAAUUUAAAGAACGGCUCAUGACUGAAAGAAGGAAUCAACCUUCUGGCAAAUAUACACGUAUAUAUUUGCCAGAAACAAGGAUUGAUUCCUUCUUUAAGACAUAAGCAGUUCUUUGAAUUUGUAUACCAAAACGCUCGCAAGUAAACUGGUGAUCCACUCGUUUGCUCAAACUUAGGGGUUGAUUGCUUCUUUCAAACAUGAGCAGUUCUUUGAAUCAAUAUACCAAAUAGCCCUUGGAAAUAUCGCAUAACCGAGACCAAGGGGCCGAGGUGGUCAUCGACCCGCCGUCAGAAGUGGCUACCUCUCACCAGCAACUCACUCGUUUGCUCGAGUUACUCAAACAUAGGGGCUAUCAAAUAGUUUAACUACCAUACUUAAAGCGAUGUGGCGUAGCCACAUUAGACGUCAACAUUAAAUAUAAGAGAUUUCAAAUUAUGCCAAAUGACCAUUAUGCCAAAUGACCAUUAUGCCAAACGACCAUUAUGCCAAAUGACCAUUAUGCCAAAUGAACAUUACGCCACACGAAAGCAUGUAUCACCUGCUGUUAUGCCAAAUGAACAUUAUGCCAAAUGAACUUAUGCCAAAUGAACUUAUGCCAAACGAACUUAUGCCAAACGACGUGCUCCCAUUUCCCAAAGAGAAUAGUGAAAGAGACGCAGAGUGAAAAUCAGUCAAAACGGCAACACUCCCUUUACGAUGAUUUCAACACUAGAAUUUGGCAACCGUUUCCAAAGGCAGCACUUUAAAUGACUCCUAUUAUAUUUUGAAAACAAACCUUUUGUCGAUCGUUGGAUUUGUUUAUCAAACGAUGUGCAUUUCGAAACAAAGAGAUGAAAUAAUUCUAAAGCUUGUUUUUACUCAUACAUAGACUCUAGAAUGCACCUUACAAUCACGAUUGCACUAAAUUCUGGCGAAAAUUCAAAUUUCUUUUUUGAUAGAUUUACAAUACUUAUCUCCUCCAACUCAGGCAUGAGUAAUGUUUAUUUACAUUGCACGAUUGGUCUGCUCAAUAAGGUAUUUUUGGCUUCACACUAUUCGUCUCUUUCCCUAUUCUCUUUGCCAUUUCCAUUUUUGCAUCAACUUUGCACUCCCUCGCAGAAAAGUUUGUUUAACAAACGUCCUACGCUGAUUCACUUUGUUCGACGUUUUGUUGAAUGUAGGACUAGUUUUUUUGUAGGGUUUUGACGUCUUACACACAACGCAAAAUACAUUGCACGCAACGCAAAAUACAUUAUGAAUUUCUAUUUUGAUGAAAAAAAAAUGCAUUUAAUUUAGCUGAUUUUUGAAAAUGCAUCUGCAUCAAGUGAUCUGCCCCUAGGAUUUGCCAGUAGGCUUUAGAAAGGUCGAUCACAGAAAAGUAUUUGGACUUUUCGAUCCUGCCUAAAAUACCGAGCAUGUCUGGAAAAGGAUAUGCAACAUCUUUUGUGAUCUCGUUAAUCCGCCGGCAGUCUAGACAGAUUCGCCAUUCUCCCGUUGAUUUUUUUACCGGAAGCAACGGAUUGCACCAUUCGGCGUUGGACUCCUCUAUAAUAUCUAGUUCUUGCAUACGUUACACUUCUUUGUCUAUUUCCUUCUGGAUAUGCGGUGAACAGCGAUAUUGCGGAGGUUUUUUGGGUUGUUCACCAUCGAUCAGGUCAAUUUUGUGAGACAAAAGUUUAGUGCGUCCGAGUCUCCCAUCGUUUGUGCUUUUGAAUAUUUCAAUUAUUUCUUGCAGCUGUUUGGUUUUAUCAUCAGUCAAUUUAUGGG